rnacentral:lncRNA from 1 species
AAAUACGAAAUGAAACAGAUCUAACAGACACAGUGAGGCCUUCUGUUAGUGGCCUCUUCCCCACCCCUUUAUUAGAUAUUGAAUUGUUUUUCAUCAUUGGUCCUUGUUUAUCAAAGUUCAGGCUUUUCAAUCAUCCUGUUCCAAUUCCCAUUAAUGCCAGCCAGCGCUCUCGUCACGGGAUUAUCUCAGGAAUGCUGCCUCAAUGCCUUAUCACGCUCCAAAGAUACAAUGUCUACAGGAGUCAUUGAAUCAGCAGUUUUAAUUAAUGAUAAUAUUUAUUGAGUUUCAGAUGCCAAAUGGAAAUUUCUAGCUUUGUUUUUAAAAACUCUUUCAGAAGGCAGAAGCAUUUGAUUAUUUUUACCUUCUUCCAUUUGAAUAUUUCAUAGCUUUUCAUGUAAAUCUGCUGUUUAAUUACCAUUACAUUUAAAAGUGCAUAAACCACUAUGUGCUUAUGAGGAACACACGUAAUAUCUAAGAAGUGGCCCUUGGAUGAGGAGCUUACAAUCUGAUAGAGCUGGCUAGACUUGUGUGCAAUAAAGACUCUUAUAAAAAGACAACGUGGAGUUAAAUUGCUCAAAAGUGUCAGAAGAAGAGGAGGGUAGGGAAAACAUCUGAGCAAAGGUAGGGAGAGAGGAAUGAUUAGAACAUACUGUAUAAGGUCACAGCAUAGUUAGAAAAUCACCCAGAUUGAAGAAGUAAGCUGACAGGGUAUAGUGUGUUACAAAUCUGGCUACUCAUGUGACAUCUCUUAUUGGAUGUCUUAACUCAGGCUUCUCAAACUCAGCAUGCCCCAAAUCAAAGUUGUGACUCUACCUUCUCCCCGAAACUGUUCUUCUGUUCUUCUCCUAGCUUUCCCACCAGAGGUCUGGGUAUCACCCAUGGUUUCUGCAUUUCCCUAAUUAUCCCUCACCAAUUUUUAAGCCAAUCCCUUCAGUUCUAUCACUAAACUACAUCUUGAAUCUGCACACUUCUCAUUUUUACCACCUUUUAGUUCAAGAUCAACUUUUUUCCUAGGCUACUGCAAAAGCCUCCUGAACUGGUCUUCUGAUUCAAUGCUUGCCCCUCUCUAUAUUGUAGCCAGAGAGAGCUUAUUGGCUGGCUGGAACACCCCUGAGCUUGCUCUGGACAAUGCCCAGCCAGGCUCGGACAUGGGCUUGCCUCUCACCCCAACACAAUGGCCUUUUCUUAGUUCCUCAAUUGUUCCAAGUCCUUCCCUCUACCUGAGACAAUUCCCCUCUCCCUCCCGCACUUCCACCUCCAACUCCUCUCAACCUGAAGAUGACCCAGUUAAGAAUGGCCUUGCUGGCCAGGCGCAGUGGCUCACAGCUGUAAUCCCAACACUUGGGGAGGCCGAGGCAGGUGGAUCACUUGAGGUCAGGAGUUGGAGACCAGCCUGGCCAACAUGAUGAAACCCCAUCUCUACUAAAAAUACAAAAAUUAGCUGGGUGUGGUGGUGAGUGCCUGUAAUCCCAGCUACUCGGGAGGCUGAGGCAGGAAAAUCACUUGAACCUGGGAGGCAGAGGUUGCAGUGAGCCAAGAUCGCACCACUGCACUCCAGCUUGGAUGACAAGAGUGAGACUCCAUCUCAAAAACAAAACAAAACAAACAAAAAAACAAAUGGCCUUGCCUAUAUUAAGGUCCUCCUUUGUUCAGCUCCUUUAUUGGCUUCACAGCUCUAAUCCCAGUCUAAAAUUAUUUCGCUUAUGUUGACUCCAUUUACUUUAUGUUUAGUAUUUGUCUCCUCCAUAAACUAUAAACUCUUUGAGGACAGCCUCAAUUGUCCUGUUUGUUCUUUAUCUUCUAGUGUGUACCGGUCAGUAAAUAUCGGUCAAAUUAAAGGAUAAAAUAUGGGAAAGAUAAGAAUGAGUCCAGUCAAGGAAACCUGUCUGAUUUUCAAGAAGAAGAAAAGUUUAGAUUUUAUAAGAAAAGUAAUACACAGAUAAGCAAAAGAAUGAUAGAUUUUGGGGAGUAUGAAUGGAAAGAGGAUGUUAACAGUAUGCCGAAUGUAUUGUGGAGAGGAAAAUUACUAUAAGUGGGAGGCAGUUAGAAGGUUAUUACAGCAUCCAAGUAAAUUGAUAAAAGCCUGAACAAGGGUGGUAGAGUAGAAAUGGAGUGGAAGGGGAAAAGCUGAGAUUAUAAAGAAGAGUGCCCAUGAAAUUUUUGUUUUUAGCUUUCACUUUUAUUUUGAAAUAAUUUUUUCAGAUCUUUUGAAACUUAGAGAAAAGUUGCAAAAUAUCAUGAGCUUGUGUAUAGCCUUCAUCUAGAUUCACCAACUCUUAGAGUACUGCUCAUUUGCCCAUGAAAUUUUUGUUUUUAGCUUUCACUUUUAUUUUGAAAUAAUUUUUUCAGAUCUUUUAUUUUGAAACUUGGAGAAAAGUUGCAGAAAAUCAUGAGCUUGGGUAUAGCCUUCACCUAGAUUCACCAACUCUUAGAGUACUGCUCAUUUGCUUUAUUCCCUUGCUCUUUCCUCUGUACAUGCAUGUACAUUCUUACGUGUUCUUUUUUUAUGAAUCAUUUGGGAAUAAGUUAUAGACAUCAUGCCCCUUUAUUCCCAAAUACCUCAGUGUGUAUUUCCUAAUAACAAAGACACUUUCACAUAGACAGAAUACACUUACCAAAGUCAGGGAUUUAAUGUUGAUACAAUGCUUUAUCCAGGAUUCUAUAAUAGUUCAGGGUCCAAUUGAGGAUUAUGCAUUACAAUGAGUUAUAAUGUCUCUUUAGAUUCCAUUCAUCUGGAAUAGUUCCUUGUUUUUUUAAUUUUAUGCCAUCAAUAUUUUUGAAAUGUACUGGACAAUUAAGUUGUAGAAUGUUCCUCCGUUUGGGUUUGCUCAUGUUACCUCAUAAUUAGACUCAAACUCUGCAUUUUUGGUGGGAGUACUACAUUAGCAUUCUUGUGUCCUCCUCAGCACUGAAAAAGAGGCACAUGACAUCACUUUGUCACAUUAUUGGAGGUAUGAACUUUGAUCAUUUGGUUAAGGUGGCAUCUGCUAAGUUUCUCCACUGUAAGAUUGCUAUUUUUAUUUUGUAAUUAUUGAAUUAAUUUAUGCAAAGAUUAUGAGCCUAUAUGAAUAUUUUAUCUUCAUCAAACUUUUACCCAAUAGUUUUAGCAAACAUUGGGGAUUCUUGCCUGAAUCAGUUAUUGCCAUGACAGCUGCAAAAUGGUGAUUUUGUAACUCUAUUAUUUCUUCUACAUUUGUCAAUUGGUAUUUCACUGUAAAGAAAAGUGUUUGCUUUUUCCAUUGUAUUUAUAGCCCAUGGACUGUUUUUUGAUUACAUGGAUUAUAAUCCAUUACUGUCAUUAUUCAUUUUAAUGACCAAAUUACCCCAGUUUGUUCAGU